AGAGUUUGAUCCUGGCUCAGGACGAACGCUGGCGGUGUGCUUCACACAUGCAAGUCGAGCGGAUGAAGUAGGUAGCUUGCUACUUAUGGAUUUAGCGGCGGACGGGUGAGUAAUAUAUAGGAAUCUGCCCUAGAGCGGGGAACAACAGACCGAAAGGUUUGCUAAUGCCCCAUAGGUAUGCAGUCUUCGGAUUGUUUAUUAAAGGAGUAAUUCACCCUAGGAUGAGCCUGUAUCCGAUUAGCUUGUUGGCGGGGUAAUGGCCCACCAAGGCUACGAUCGGUAGUUGGUCUGAGAGGAUGAUCAGCCACAAUGGGACUGAGACACGGCCCAUACUCCUACGGGAGGCAGCAGUGGGGAAUUUUACACAAUGGGGGAAACCCUGAUGUAGCGACACCGCGUGAACGAAGAAGCCUUUUGGGGUGUAAAGUUCUGUCGGCUGGAACGAAAAAAAUGACGGUACCAGCAAAGGAAGCAUCGGCUAACUACGUGCCAGCAGCCGCGGUAAGACGUAGGAUGCAAGCGUUGUCCGGAUUUAUUGGGCGUAAAGAGUUCGUAGGCGGUUAUUUAAGUCUGGUGUUAAAUACUGUGGCCCAACCACAGAACUGCAUUGGAUACUGGAUGACUUGAGUGCGGUAGAGGCGAGUGGAAUUCCCAGUGUAGCGGUGAAAUGCGUAGA
rnacentral:rRNA from 1 species